GGCCUCUCUCCCACAGGGCUGUAGGGAUUCCCUUCUCUCCUCAGGCAGCAAUGAAGGCCAAGAUCGGCCCUCACGGAUCAUCAUCGAACUGCCAUCAGCUGGGCAGCCUUGUUUUUCUAAAUCAGACAUUU